rnacentral:tRNA from 1 species
GCCUUCGUGGUGUAGUGGUCAGCACACUCGACACGUACCCGAGAGAUCCGUGGUUCGAUUCCCGGCAAGGGCG